AGAUCUCAAACCCACUGCGAAAUGGCAGAUUCGGCGGAUUCCCAAUGAACUAACAUGAUGUACUUGGAAAUCACGUAGCCUCGAAGCCGUGAUGAAUUGUACUUGAGCGAAGUGAGUUCAUGGGGAAUCGGCCGGAUCUGCCAUUUCGCAGUGGGCUUGAGAUCG